GGGUCAGUAGGUUGGUCGUGCCACCGGUACGUACUGGUCUCACUGAUUCCUCCUUCCCGAAGAACCGUAAUGCCAUUAAUUUGGUGUUGCGGGGAAGCAGGACUGUUACUUUGAAAAAAUUAGAGUGUUUAAAGCAAGCUAACGCUUGAAUACAUUAGCAUGGAAUAAUGAAAUAGGACGAUCGAUCCUAUUUUGUUGGUUUCUAGGAUUGACGUG
rnacentral:rRNA from 1 species